rnacentral:rRNA from 1 species
AGAACUUAGCAGAGAUGCUUUGGUGCCUUCGGGAACUCUGAGACAGGUGCUGCAUGGCUGUCGUCAGCUCGUGUUGUGAAAUGUUGGGUUAAGUCCCGCAACGAGCGCAACCCUUAUCCUUUGUGCCAGCGGUUAGGCCGGGAACUCAAAGGAGACUGCCAGUGAUAAACUGGAGGAAGGUGGGGAUGACGUCAAGUCAUCAUGGCCCUUACGAGUAGGGCUACACACGUGCUACAAUGGCGCAUACAAAGAGAAGCGACCUCGCGAGAGCAAGCGGACCUCAUAAAGUGCGUCGUAGUCCGGAUUGGAGUCUGCAACUCGACUCCAUGAAGUCGGAAUCGCUAGUAAUCGUGGAUCAGAAUGCCACGGUGAAUACGUUCCCGGGCCUUGUACACACCGCCCGUCACACCAUGGGAGUGGGUUGCAAAAGAAGUAGGUAGCUUAACCUUCGGGAGGGCGCUUACCACUUUGUGAUUCAUGACUGGGGUGAAGUCGUAACAAGGUAAGCGUAGUGCU